AACCUGCCCGAAAGACCGGGACAACGAUUCGAAAGGGUCGCUAAUACCGGAUGUGACCGCUUCUUCACCUGUGGGAGCGAUUAAAGCCUCGCAAGGGGGCUUUCGGAGGGGCUUGCGGCCUAUCAGCUUGUUGGUGGGGUAACGGCCUACCAAGGCGACGACGGGUAGCUGGUCUGAGAGGAUGUCCAGCCGGACUGGGACUGAGAUACGGCCCAGACUCCUACGGGGGGCAGCAAUUAGGAAUCUUGUGCAAUGGGCGAAAGCCUGACACAGCGACGCCGCGUGGGG
rnacentral:rRNA from 1 species